AAAGGGUACACUCGCCAGCAGUUUUGCCACGAGAGUACACCAAACAAAGAGACAGGGUCAUUUGUAACCUGACGCAUCCACCCUACUGCUGUGUCUGGUUUCCAUUGGCUGGAACGGGACCUCACAUUCUGUAUUUGUCCUGAAUGGCGAGCAACUUAAAACUUUUUAAAAGAAGCAAAGGCAGAGGAGAACAAAGGAAGGAGAAAGUAACUUGUGGAAUGGUGAGAAAGGCAUGAGGUGAAUUCUCAGCCGUGACAAGGCUAAAGGCCAGCAGGAACAGGCUCUAGCGAAAUGGGUGCUGUGUCCCCUUCCUGUAUGUGGCAGAAAGUUGCAAAGGGAGUUUGGGCUGGGGAAGGGUCCUGUACACUCUCAACAGGAGGUGCAGAAUGAGCCCUGCAUUGAAUGUGUAAGCAUCCAAAGCCGUCACUGAGGUGAGAAGAGCCUUCAUUGGCAGCCUCAAAAAGAAAGGUGUGCUUGGAUGUAUGCACUGGACAUGCC
rnacentral:antisense_RNA from 1 species